rnacentral:rRNA from 1 species
UACGUAGGGGGCUAGCGUUGUCCGGAUUUAUUGGGCGUAAAGAGCGUGUAGGCGGCCAGGUAGGUCUGGUGUGAAAACUCGAGGCUUAACCUCGAGAUGUCAUCGGAAACCAUCUGGCUAGAGUCCGGAAGAGGAGAGUGGAAUUCCUGGUGUAGCGGUGAAAUGCGCAGAUAUCAGGAAGAACACCUAUGGCGAAGGCAGCACUCUGGGACGGUACUGACGCUGAGACGCGAAAGCGUGGGGAGCGAACAGG